CACGUUGAAACAGCAGUUCCCAUACGAUCACCGAAGUUAAGUAACGUCGAUCAUGGUCAGUACCUUGAUGGGUGACCGCUUGGGGAUACUUCGA